UAGGGAAUCUUCCACAAUGGGCGCAAGCCUGAUGGAGCAACACCGCGUGAGUGAAGAAGGGUUUCGGCUCGUAAAGCUCUGUUGUUAAAGAAGAACACGUAUGAGAGUAACUGUUCAUACGUUGACGGUAUUUAACCAGAAAGUCACGGCUAACCACGUGCCAGCAGCCGCGGUAAUACGUAGGUGGCAAGCGUUAUCCGGAUUUAUUGGGCGUAAAGAGAGUGCAGGCGGUUUUCUAAGUCUGAUGUGAAAGCCUUCGGCUUAACCGGAGAAGUGCAUCGGAAACUGGAUAACUUGAGUGCAGAAGAGGGUAGUGGAACUCCAUGUGUAGCGGUGGAAUGCGUAGAUAUAUGGAAGAACACCAGUGGCGAAGGCGGCUACCUGGUCUGCAACUGACGCUGAGACUCGAAAGCAUGGGUAGCGAACAGGAUUAGAUACCCUGGUAG
rnacentral:rRNA from 1 species